rnacentral:rRNA from 1 species
CCUGAGGAUGAGUCUGCGGCCUAUCAGGUAGUAUGUGGUGUAAAGGACCACAUAGCCUAGGACGGGUACGGGCCCUGAAAGGGGGAGCCCGGAGAUGGACUCUGAGACACUAGUCCAGGCCCUACGGGGCGCAGCAGGCGCGAAAACUGUGCAAUGCGCGAAAGCGCGACACGGGAAACCUGAGUGCCUUGACAUUAGUCAAGGCUUUUAUUAAGCCUAAAAAGCUUAAGGAAUAAGAGCUGGGUAAGACGGGUGCCAGCCGCCGCGGUAACACCCGCAGCUCGAGUGGUGGUCACUUUUAUUGAGCCUAAAGCGUUCGUAGCCGGCUUCGUAAAUCUUCAGACAAAUUCUUCUGCUUAACAGAAGAUUCUCUGGAGAGACUGCGGAGCUUGGGACCGGGUGAGGUUGAAUGUACUUCUGGGGUAGGGGUAAAAUCCUGUAAUCCUGGAAGGACGACCGGUGGCGAAGGCGUUCAACUAGAACGGAUCCGACGGUGAGGAACGAGGGCUAGGGGAGCAAACCGGAUUAGAUACCCGGGUAGUCCUAGCUGUAAACACUGCCCACUUGGUGUUGCUUUUCCGAUUAAGGGAGAGCAGUGCCGGAGCGAAGGUGUUAAGUGGGCCGCUUGGGGAGUAUGGUCGCAAGGCUGAAACUUAAAGGAAUUGGCGGGGGAGCACCGCAACGGGAGGAGCGUGCGGUUUAAUUGGAUUCAACGCCG